CGGAGCCCUAACAUGAGUUUGUCUGUUUAUAAUAGAUGAAAAACGUCAUGUUAUUUCUUAGUGACAUUCUCUUUCCUUGGCUCUCAGAGGACUGACUCUCUAUUUUGACUUGGUCCACAUAAGCGGUUUCCUUGCACGUUGUUUAAAAGAAGUAACUUCCCUGUAGUAAUACAACUCCCAGAAUACCUUUCACCAAAGCAAUUCCUAAAGGGGUGUGGCUUCUGGUGCAAAACUGCUGAAAGUCCCAGAGGUGAAUUACACAAUCAGAUUCUGAGGCAGUGACAGACUUUGUUUUCCUUCAAAUUUCUACUUCCUGAAACCAAGGCUCUUUAUGAUAAACAGUGUAUUUCAGGGAAAUUGUGCUAAAAUUAACCUUUUUCAGAGAUUUGCUGGCCUUAAAAGUGUUUAUCUUCGAGACAAAGGGAAUCCAUUCUAGGGAGGAUGUAAUUCUAAAUAUGGAGAAAAUCCACACAAGAUGUUUAUCAUAAAGUUUUAGUUACUUACAAUCAACCACUGCCAGAAGCAGAUGAUCUUCUUUAUGACGCUUCCUCACACGCCUGAGUCAUUCACCUCACUUCAUCUCAUCACAUAGACGUUUUACUGUCUCACAUCAUCACAAGAAGAACAGUGAGUAGUAUAUAGGCAUAUCUCAUUUUAUUAUGCUUUGGUUUAUUGCGCUUUUCAGAUACUGAGUUUUUUACAAACUGAAGGUUUGUAGCAACCCUGGUUCAAACAAGUCUGUCAGCGCUGUUUUUCCAACAGCAUUUGUUCACAAUUUUGUCUGUCAUGUUUUGGUAAUUCUCUUGAAAGUUUCAAACCUUGUCAUUAUUGUGAUAUUGUCAUGGUGAUCUGUGAUUAGUGAUUACAACUUACCGAAAGCUCAGAUGAUGGUUAGCAUUUUCUAGCAAUAAGGUAUUUUUUUCAUUUUGGUGUGUCAUGUUUUGGUAAUUCUCUUGAAAGUUUCAAACCUUGUCAUUAUUGUGAUGUUGUCAUGGUGAUCUGUGAUUAGUGAUUACAACUUACCGAAAGCUCAGAUGAUGGUUAGCAUUUUCUAGCAAUAAAGUAUUUUUUUCAUUUUGGUGUGUACAUGUUUUUAGGCAUAAUGCUAUUGCACACUUAGUAGACUAAAGUAUAGUAUAAACAUAACUUCUAUAUGCACUGGGAAACCAAAAAGUUCAUUUGACUCGCUUUAUUGCAGUAUUUGCUCUAUUGCAGCAGUCUGGAAACUGAACCUGAAAUACCUUCACAAUAUGCUUCUACAAUAAGAUAUUUUCAGAGAGAGAGACCACAUUCACAUAUGUUUUUAUACAGUAUAUUAUUAUAACUGUUUUAUUUUAUUAUUGUUGUUAUUCU
rnacentral:lncRNA from 1 species